CCUACGGGAGGCAGCAGUGAGGAAUAUUGGUCAAUGGACGAGAGUCUGAACCAGCCAAGUAGCGUGAAGGAUGACUGCCCUAUGUGUUGUAAACUUCUUUUAUAAAGGAAUAAAACGAGGCACGUGUGCCUUUUUGCAUGUACUUUAUGAAUAAGGAUCGGCUAACUCCGUGCCAGCAGCCGCGGUAAUACGGAGGAUCCUAGCGUUAUCCGGAUUUAUUGGGUUUAAUGGGAGCGUAGAUGGGUUGUUAAGUCAGUUGUGAAAGUUUGCGGCUCAACCGUAAAAUUGCAAUUGAUACUGGCAGUCGUGAGUACAGUUGAGGUAGGCGGAAUUCGUGGUGUAGCGGUGAAAUGCUUAGAUAUCACGAAGAACCCCGAUUGCGAAGGCAGCUUACUAAACUGUGACUGACAUUGAUGCUCGAAAGUGUGGGUAUCAAACAGGAUUAGAUACCCCAGUAGUC
rnacentral:rRNA from 1 species